rnacentral:rRNA from 15 species
UUGAGAGUUUGAUCCUGGCUCAGAACGAACGCUGGCGGCAGGCCUAACACAUGCAAGUCGAGCGCACCCUUCGGGGCGAGCGGCGGACGGGUUAGUAACGCGUGGGAAUGUACCCUUCUCUAUGGAAUAGCCUCGGGAAACUGAGAGUAAUACCAUAUACGCCCUUCGGGGGAAAGAUUUAUCGGUGAAAGAUCGGCCCGCGUUAGAUUAG